UAGCGGGGUGCACACAGGCGAGAAACCUCUACAAUGCGGGAAACCGUGACAGGGGGAUCCCAAGUGCUCAUGCAUUUCAUGGGCUGUUCUUGGUCUAAGUGCCGAGAGAGGG
rnacentral:rRNA from 1 species